GACGAACGCUGGCGGCGUGCUUAACACAUGCAAGUCGAACGAAGAGCGACGGAUGCUUGCUUCUAUCAAUCUUAGUGGCGAAAGGGUGAGUUACGCGUAAUCAACCUGCCCUUCAGAGGGGGACAACAGUUGGAAACGAUUGCUAAUACCGCAUACGAUCUAAACUCGGCAUCGAGGAUAGAUGAAAGGUGGCCUCUACCUGUAAGCUAUCACUGAAGGAGGGGAUUGCGGCUGAUUAGCUAGGUGGAGGGGUAACGGCCCACCAAGGCGAGGUGCAGUAGCCGGGCGGGGAGGAUGGACGGCCACAUUGGGACUGAGACACGGCCCAGACUCCUACGGGAGGCAGCAGGGGGGAAUCUUCCGCAAUGGACGAAAGUCUGACGGAGCAACGCCGCGGGAGGGAUGACGGCCUUCGGGUUGUAAAGCUCUGUUAAUCGGGACGAAAGGCCUUCUUGCGAAUAGGGAGAAGGAUUGACGGUACCGGAAGAGAAAGCCACGGCUAACUACGUG
rnacentral:rRNA from 1 species